AGAGUUUGAUCCUGGCUCAGGUUGAACGCUGGCGGCAUGCUUUACACAUGCAAGUCGAACGGUAACAGGCCUUCGGGCGCUGACGAGUGGCGAACGGGUGAGUAACGCAUCGGAACGUGCCCAGUCGUGGGGGAUAACGCAGCGAAAGCUGUGCUAAUACCGCAUACGAUCUGCGGAUGAAAGCGGGGGACCUUAGGGCCUCGCGCGAUUGGAGCGGCCGAUGUCAGAUUAGGUAGUUGGUGGGGUAAAGGCCCACCAAGCCAACGAUCUGUAGCUGGCCUGAGAGGACGACCAGCCACACUGGGACUGAGACACGGCCCAGACUCCUACGGGAGGCAGCAGUGGGGAAUUUUGGACAAUGGGCGCAAGCCUGAUCCAGCAAUGCCGCGUGCAGGAAGAAGGCCUUCGGGUUGUAAACUGCUUUUGUACGGAACGAAAAAGUCCGGGUUAAUACCCUGGGCCCAUGA
rnacentral:rRNA from 1 species